AGCAGUAUGGUGUAUUGUGCACGCGGGGGUAUCGUACGGAGGUCGGGAAAUUCAACCCCGAGGUCCUUGUUAGAACCAAGGUACUGCUC